rnacentral:lncRNA from 1 species
GUGAUAGGUUGCCAUUUGAUACUUACAUUCUUUAUAUCACAGCAAUUUGGUGGGAAGCCGCAGCACCAGCAGAAAUGAUGUUAGAGAACUGGUUUACUUAACUAAAUAUCGAAUAAUGUAGUGCUUUCUUUUUGGCAGAAGAUAAUUGGAGAAAAAUAUCAUGCACUGAAUUCAAGACUGUUUAUAGGACGUCCUCGGUGGAAACUUUUGUUUGAUGAAAUAGCAAAAUAUAACAGAGGAAAAACAGUUGGUGUUUUCUGUUGUGGACCCAAUUCACUAUCCAAGACUCUUCAUAAACUGAGUAACCAGAACAACUCAUAUGGGACAAGAUUUGAAUACAAUAAAGAGUCUUUCAGCUGAAAACUUUUGCCAUGAAGCAGGACUCUAAAGAAGGAAUGAGUGCAAUUUCUAAGACUUUGAAACUCAGCGGAAUCAAUCAGCUGUGUUAUGCCAAAGAAUAGUAAGGUUUUCUUAUUUAUGAUUAUUUAAAAUGGAAAUGUGAGAAUGUGGCAAGAUGACCGUCACAUUACAUGUUUAAUCUGGAAACCAAAGAGACCCUGAAGAAUAUUUGAUGUGAUGAUUCACUUUUCAGUUCUCAAAUUAAAAGAAAACUGUUAGAUGCACACUGUUGAUUUUCAUGGUGGAUUCAAGAACUCCCUAGUGAGGAGCUGAACUUGCUCAAUCUAAGGCUGAUUGUCGUGUUCCUCUUUAAAUUGUUUUUGGUUGAACAAAUGCAAGAUUGAACAAAAUUAAAA